UGGGGAAUAUUGGACAAUGGGCGAAAGCCUGAUCCAGCCAUGCCGCGUGUGUGAAGAAGGUCUUCGGAUUGUAAAGCACUUUAAGUUGGGAGGAAGGGCAGUAAGCGAAUACCUUGCUGUUUUGACGUUACCGACAGAAUAAGCACCGGCUAACUCUGUGCCAGCAGCCGCGGUAAUACAGAGGGUGCAAGCGUUAAUCGUAAUUACUGGGCGUAAAGCGCGCGUAGGUGGUUCGUUAAGUUGAAUGUGAAAGCCCCGGGCUCAACCUGGGAACUGCAUCCAAAACUGGCGAGCUAGAGUAGGGCAGAGGGUGGUGGAAGUUCCUGUGUAGCGGUGAAAUGCGUAGAUAUAAGAAGGAACACCAGUGGCGAAGGCGACCACCUGGGCUCAUACUGACACUGAGGUGCGAAAGCGUGGGGAGCAAACAGG
rnacentral:rRNA from 1 species